rnacentral:rRNA from 1 species
GACGAACGCUGGCGGCGUGCCUAAUACAUGCAAGUAGAACGCAGUUGCGAACGGGUGAGUAACGCGUAGGGAAAUGCCUCGUAGCGGGGGAUAACUAUUUGGAACGGUAGCUAAUACCGCAUACUUUGGGAUGGACCUGCUUUGUAUUAGGUAGUUGGUGAGGCAAAGGCUCACCAAGGCGACGAUACAUAGCCGACCUGGGAGGGGUAACGGCCACACUGGGACUGGGAAACGGCCCAGGAUCCUAAGGGGGGGAGGCGUAGGGAAUCAUCGGCAAAGGACGGCAGGCUGAACGCGCAACUGCGCGGGAGUGAAGAAGGUUUUCGGAGCGUAAAGCUCUGUUGUUAGAGAAGCGGUAACUAACCAGAAAGGGACGGCUAACUACGUGCCAGCAGCCGCGGUAAUUC